UGGUGUCGAUGACGCUGAGGGUACACCCGUUCCCAUACCGAACACGGAAGUUAAGCUCAGUCGUGCCGAAAAUACUUGGCUGGCGACGGCCUGGGAAAAUAGGAAGAUGCCA
rnacentral:rRNA from 1 species